rnacentral:rRNA from 1 species
GUAGUUGGCAAGCGUUGUCCGGGAAUUAUUGGGGCGUAAAGCGCGCGCAGGCGGUUCUUUAAGUCUGAUGUGAAAGCCCACGGGCUCAACCGUGGAGGGUCAUUGGAAACUGGAGAACUUGAGUACAGAAGAGGAAAGCGGAAUUCCACGUGUAGCGGUGGAAUGCGUAGAGAUGUGGAGGAACACCAGUGGCGAAGGCGGCUUUCUGGUCUGUAACUGACGCUGAGGCGCGAAAGCGUGGGGAGCAAACAGGAUUAGAUACCCUGGUAGUCCACGCCGUAAACGAUGAGUGCUAAGUGUUAGGGGGUUUCCGCCCCUUAGUGCUGCAGCUAACGCAUUAAGCACUCCGCCUGGGGAGUACGGCCGCAAAGGCUG